rnacentral:misc_RNA from 1 species
UGCGGCUGGAUCCCCUCCUUUCUAGGGAAUCCGGAGCCAUUACUCCGGGGGCUCUCGGACCGUUGAUGGCUUUGCCGUCCGGACAACCGAGUCGCCUAGAAGAACGUCGACCUCGACGUCGAACGCUGUUGAGUUUUGAGAGACCGUUGCUAAAGGCGGUCUACGCGCACCUUGAAAACUCCAUAGCGGCAACACACGUGUUCUUUUCGAUCAAGAGAACAAGGGCACACGGUGGAUGCCUUGGCA